GUUCCUACGGGGGGCAGCAGUCGGGAAUAUUGCGCAAUGGAGGAAACUCUGACGCAGUGACGCCGCGUAUAGGAAGAAGGUUUUCGGAUUGUAAACUAUUGUCGAUAGGGAAGAAAAAAGACUGUACCUAUCAAGAAAGCUCCGGCUAACUACGUGCCAGCAGCCGCGGUAAUACGUAGGGAGCAAGCGUUAUCCGGAAUUAUUGGGUGUAAAGGGUGCGUAGACGGCUGUGCAAGUCUGGAGUGCAAGGCGGGGGCCCAACCCCCGGACUGCUCUGGAAA
rnacentral:rRNA from 1 species